AUUGAACGCUGGCGGCAGGCCUAACACAUGCAAGUCGAACGGUAACAGGAAGAAGCUUGCUUAUUUGCUGACGAGUGGCGGACGGGUGAGUAAUGUCUGGGAAACUGCCUGAUGGAGGGGGAUAACUACUGGAAACGGUAGCUAAUACCGCAUAACGUCGCAAGACCAAAAAGGGGGACCUUCGGGCCUCUUGCCAUCGGAUGUGCCCAGAUGGGAUUAGCUAGUAGGUGGGGUAACGGCUCACCUAGGCGACGAUCCCUAGCUGAUCUGAGAGGAUGACCAGCCACACUGGAACUGAGACACGGUCCAGACUCCUACGGGAGGCAGCAGUGGGGAAUAUUGCACAAUGGGCGCAAGCCUGAUGCAGCCAUGCCGCGUGUAUGAAGAAGGCCUUCGGGUUGUAAAGUACUUUAAGCGGGGAGGAAGGAAGUAAAGUUAAUACCUUUGCUCAUUGACGGUACCCGCAGAAGAAGCACCGGCUAACUCCGUG
rnacentral:rRNA from 1 species